rnacentral:rRNA from 1 species
UACGUAGGAUCCGAGCAUUAUCCGGAGUGACUGGGUGUAAAGAGUUGCGUAGGUGGCGUGGUAAGUAGAUAGUGAAAUCUGGUGGCUCAACCAUUCAGACUAUUAUCUAAACUGCCAAGCUCGAGAUCGUUAGGGGUAGCUGGAAUUUCUAGUGUAGGAGUGAAGUCCGUAGAUAUUAGAAAGAACACCGACAGCGUAGGCAGGCUACUGGGACGAUUCUGACACUAAGGCACGAAAGCGUAGGGAGCAA